rnacentral:rRNA from 1 species
AACGAACGCUGGCGGCAGGCUUAACACAUGCAAGUCGAACGGAUGUAGCAAUACAUCAGUGGCAGACGGGUGAGGAACACGUGGGAAUAUCCCCUUCAGUUCGGAAUAACUCAGGGAAACUUGAGCUAAUACCGGAUACGUCAGAGAUGAGAAAGAUUUAUCGCUGAAGGAUUAGCCCGCGUCUGAUUAGCUAGUUGGUGAGGUAACGGCUCACCAAGGCGACGAUCAGUAGCUGGUCUGAGAGGAUGAUCAGCCACAUUGGGACUGAGACACGGCCCAAACUCCUACGGGUGGCAG